UUCGUGUUUUAAAUUUUCACUGCUUUUCUCACUCUGGACAGAUAGACUCCGUGCAUCUUUCAUAGAAAAUGAUUUGUUUCCAUCAUAUUUUGAAGUGUUUCGAAAUAAGUCUACUUUUGGAGAUGAUCUGAAUGGCAGUUUGCUUGGGCUUCCAUGCUGGUUAUUGCUAUUACUUCCAAGAGAACCUUGUCUAGAGUAAGCAUUUUCUGUGUUUUUUGAAGUAUUUGAAAGAGUCUCUUGUGUUGCUCCUGACCCAGGAAUGGCCUUGAUUUGAAGUCCUUCCAUGGCUGAGUUCUGCCUUGUUAGAGAAUUUCCUCUGUCAGAAGUGUUUGUAAUAAUCUGAGUCCGUACUUUUCCAAGACCUUCUGUCACAAGGGUAGAUGACUUUUCUCCUGUAUGAACGCUGAAACUCUGACUUCGAGCUUUCGCUCCAUUCAUGCCUAGAGCUGGUUUCAAGUGUGACUUGUUGCUAGAAGAAAAAGAUCUCUUAACUAGUUUGCUUUCUAAUUCAUCUACUCUGUCUACCACCAAGCUGCCAUUUUCAUGUGAACGAGGUGAUGCUGUAUCCACACUAAGUCUCAAAGAAAAAUUAUCUUUUAUUUCGGUAUCAGACUUAGAGUCCUUUAAUUCAGCAUCUAUUGCACCUUUGGUGGCCACACGUUCAUUUUGCUUGUGCUUACUUGUACUCACGUGGCUUUUGGAAGCUGCAUUUAUACUAUCUUUUUCCUGCUUCCCUGGGACGGUGGAGCUCUUUCGGAGAAGUUGAGGAGAUUUGACAAAUAAUUUCAGUCCUACAGGGAGACGGGUUUUCACUCCUUUCUCAUUAGAGUUUUGUGUGGCAUUUGCAGUGUCACUACCAUGAAACAGUGUUGACAAUGGAGAAUUGUUUACCUGAGAUAGCAAGGGCUCACUCACGCUUGCUGUAUGACAUUGAGGAGUUGCAGGGAGAAUGUUUGGCAUCUUUUGUGGCUGAUCAACCCCACUGUCACUGGAAAUAUCCUUCUUGCUGGAAUGCACUUCUUGUGAAGUUGUUUCCAGUGACGGACCCAGAGGAAUGGACCUGCCUGUCUGAGAAUCCAUGCUCAGAAACUCACGGUUCCUGUGGAGACCCAUCUGAUUGGUGUUUUUCAGGCAGACUUGCUUUGUGGAAACUUUGGAAAGUCCUUGGCAUGCACUAUGGGGUUGCUGAGAUAUACAUUUAUUUUGCAUAAUUGCUUCAGAAUUUUCUUGAAGGUAAGAUAACUCAAUUUUGGCCCCAGAAGAUAGACUUUUUGCUUGCAUAUCAUGACUAGAUUGAUUAUGGAUGCCAGAGUUUGCAGUUCCUUUUAAUGGUGAUGGUUUCAGUAUAUUUUUUGCUGUUUCACCUGGAACAGCUCCUCCUAACUUCACAGCCGCAGGUUGUGAAUGAGCAUAAUCAGGACGAAUCAAUAGGGACGUUGACCUGCCGGGAGGAAGGGGUGGGGAUGGCGACCUGGCUUCUACAGUUGCUAAAUCAUGAUUAGAGUCUCUAGUUGGAGGUUCUCCAUAGUCAGUAGGCUCUAUAAGGUGCUGAGGCAACAGUGGUGAUGCUGGACUCUGACUCUUUGGAUACUUUGUCCCAUUGCCUCUGCUCGGACGCUUUGAGCUGGGCAGGGGGUGGGCAGGGGGCUUUGGAACUUGGAAGUCAACUUUUGAGUCAAAAUUACGAGGUGGACUUUGUGCCUUUUUGAGUCUUGAAAGCUUUACAGGUGGAAGAGCAGGUGAUUUUUCAAGGGUUGCAGGGGUCACUGAAGUAGCUACAGGUGCCUCCUCACUCUCUGUCAUCUUGUUUUUUUGUGGAGAAAAUUUACCUCUGCUGGGUAUUUUAGUCAAGAUUGGCUUUUGAUUGACUCCUGCAUGAACAAUGGAGCUUGAAUUGGUCUUGUACGACACAUCAUACACUGGCUUCACUAGUUUUUGUCGUGGUGCAUUUUGCAGUAUGAUUCUUCCACAGGGUGAAGAUUCACUGCAGGUUGUGGUGACAACCAUAUUUUUAUUCCCUGUAUUAUCUUCAAGAGUCUGUUUUUUAGUUUUGUCUUCAGGUCCUUCCAAAACACUGUAGUCUCUAGCAUUUGUUCCUGCCUGCAAAUUAGCUAUUCCCUGAGGUAUAAGUUCAGUAUAUUCUGCACUGGACCUACUUUCUGGUUGGUUGACUGAUAUCUCAUUUCUUGUUACAGUGACAACUCCAAUUUGAUGCGAGCUGAAUUCAAUAGGCUCACCGUCCUCAGCAUCAAAUAUCACUGUAAUGCACUCCUCAGAAGAAGUCUUUUUUAUGACUUUUUGUUGUUUAAUGAAAUUACAUGUCUUUGGCCUAAUGUCUGAGUGAGCAGAUGUCUGUCUUUCCUCUUUGUCACUAGAUAUAAACUGAGAAUUCUCUGUGACUAUGAGCACAUCAGAGUUCUUUGUGUACUUCUCAGUAAAAGGAGUUGCUAAUAAAUCUGAUGGACUUUUCUCAUCACUGCUUUCUAUAUGCAAUUCAUCCAAGACUUCAUUGUCAUCAGUAUCUGAAAGCUGAAAAUUAAGGUCCUUCCAGCCUAUAUUAGCAUGGCUUUGAUCUAACUGUAAAUCAGGCAGCUUUGUUCUGGUGCACGAUUCUACUUCUGCCUGAAAUCCACUGACAAAACUGGUCAAUUUUUCUGGUCUUUCCUUUGAAUUAAAAUAUGAACUUCUUUCUGGCAAAUGUUUCCUAUUAGGAUCCCAGUGAAAGAGACUGUCAGAAACACUGUGAGUUAAUUUGUUACAAUAGAUCCUGCAGUCUUUGCUUGGUACUUCCUGCAGCAAUAAUAAAGAUGAAGAAUCAUCAUCUGCAUCAUCAUGACUUCAUACUGGUGUGAAGGCCA
rnacentral:lncRNA from 1 species